rnacentral:rRNA from 1 species
ACUGCUCAGUAACACGUGGACAACCUACCCUACGGAGGGGGAUAACCCCGGGAAACUGGGGAUAAUACCCCAUAGACUAUGGAUGCUGGAAUGCUCUGUAGCCGAAAGGUCCGCCGCCGUAGGAUGGGUCUGCGGCCGAUUAGGUUGUUGUUGGGGUAACGGCCCAACAAGCCUGUAAUCGGUACGGGUUGUGGGAGCAAGAGCCCGGAGAUGGAUUCUGAGACACGAAUCCAGGCCCUACGGGGCGCAGCAGGCGCGAAAACUUUACAAUGCGGGAAACCGUGAUAAGGGAACUCUGAGUGCCCGUAAAAUCGGGCUGUCCAUCAGUUUAAAUAACUGGUGAAGAAAGGGCCGGGCAAGACCGGUGCCAGCCGCCGCGGUAAUACCGGCGGCUCGAGUGGUGGCCACUAUUACUGGGCUUAAAGCGUUCGUAGCUGGUUUGUUAAGUCUCUGGGGAAAUCUUCCGGCUUAACCGGAAGGCGUCUCAGGGAUACUGGCAGACUAGGGACCGGAAGAGGUGAGAGGUACUCCAGGGGUAGGAGUGAAAUCCUGUAAUCCUUGGGGGACCACCUGUGGCGAAGGCGUCUCACCAGAACGGCUCCGACAGUGAGGGACGAAAGCUGGGGGAGCAAACCGGAUUAGAUACCCGGGUAGUCCCAGCUGUAAACGAUGCGCGUUAGGUGUAUCGGUGACCACGAGUCACCGAGGUGCCGAAGAGAAAUCGUGAAACGUGCCGCCUGGGAAGUACGGUCGCAAGGCUGAAACUUAAAGGAAUUGGCGGGGGAGCAC